UACGAAGGGGGCUAGCGUUGUUCGGAAUCACUGGGCGUAAAGCGCACGUAGGCGGAUGUGCCAGUCAGGGGUGAAAUCCCGGAGCUCAACUCCGGAACUGCCUCUGAUACAGCACGUCUUGAGUUCGAGAGAGGUGGGUGGAAUUCCUAGUGUAGAGGUGAAAUUCGUAGAUAUUAGGAAGAACACCGGUGGCGAAGGCGGCCCACUGGCUCGAUACUGACGCUGAGGUGCGAAAGCGUGGGAGCAAACAGG
rnacentral:rRNA from 1 species